UAGGUUGAGGAGGCGUGACCGUGGCGGUGGAGGAGGAGGAUGAGGUAGCCAACACUGUAUUAUAUUUUAAUUGGGGUAGCCCCCAAAAUAUUGGGACAUAUAAAAAAAAGACAACUCUGUUCCGCAGAGUAGUUGUUGACAUUAUAGUUGCGCAGGCACUUUGUUGACUCUAGAGAACCUAUGGCCAAUCGCACAUUCCCGUGGCGGCGACUUUGCAUGCGGAUGUCAUCCAUAUCAACUUUUGAUGCCAGUUUCUGCGCCUACCAUAGUGACCACGGGUAACGGGGAAUCAGGGUUCCUUUCCGUACAGGGACACUGAGAAACGGCAAGGGAGGCAGCAGGCGCGCAAAUUAUCCACUCCCGACGCGGGAAGGUAGUGACGACAAAUAACAAUACAGGCCCUGUAAUUGUAAUGAGUCCACUUGAAAUCCUUUAACUCUGAUCAAUUGGAGGGAAGUCUGGUGCAUAGCCACUGACCCGUGCAUGCUGCAGCUGAAACUCCACU